rnacentral:ncRNA from 2 species
AUUAAAAAAACUAUCUUUGUAAAACUUUCAGAAAAGGGAAUCGCGUGAAAUCCGCGAACUGUCCCCGCAACUGUAAAUCACGGAGGAUUAAGUAAGAAUUAAUAAUUCCUUAAUUCCGCAAAGAGUUUCUGCAAACCAGCCAUUUUCACAAAAUGAAGAGAAGGCGCAGAAAUGUGAAAGUCAGGAGACCUUGCUGAAAAUUAACCCUAAA